AAGGGCAUCUGGACACAGCCAUUCCUCUUGGGUUUGCUGCUCAGUGAACCCUCAGACCUUCUCCAGGCAGCCCUGUGUAGACCCAGGACCAGCAGCAGCCAUGAAGAUCCUGUUCCUGCUCCUCCCUCUGAUUCUCCUGUUGGUCCAGGGUGCUGCAGUCGCUAGGGAUGAGACCCUGAAUUUCCCAAGAAGGACAUGCCCCUCGCUUCUGGCUCCUGAAAAUCACUUCCUGAUGGUCCCUUGCCCUCCCUGGCUGUGCGGUGCCCAGCUGGGCUGACAGCAGCAGUGGCAGCUGCUCCUGCUGGGUGCUGCUGGGCUGCAGCUGUGUGGUGCCAGCCCCGGUGUCUUUGGGCCAGGGGCUGCUUUUCCCGGCUUGAAUAAAGACAAGCAC